rnacentral:tRNA from 1 species
GCCUGGGUGGCUCAGUUGGUUGAGCAUCCGACUUCGGCUCAGGUCACGAUCUCAUGGUUUGUGGGUUUGAGUCCCACGUCAGGCU